UACAGAGGGUGCGAGCGUUGUCCGGAAUCACUGGGCGUAAAGGGCGCGUAGGGGGCGCCCCAAGUCCGUGGUGAAAGCUCGAUGCUCAACAUCGAGUCGGCCACGGAAACUGGGGGGCUCGAGCACUGUAGAGGCAGAUGGAAUUCCGGGUGUAGCGGUGGAAUGCGUAGAGAUCCGGAAGAACACCGGUGGCGAAGGCGGUCUGCUGGGCAGUAGCUGACACUGAGGCGCGACAGCGUGGGGAGCAAACAGG
rnacentral:rRNA from 1 species